rnacentral:lncRNA from 1 species
AUGGAGGAUAUGGAAGGUAGGAACAGAAAUAAAAAAACUAAAACAAAUGAAAAUGAAGAGUAUGAAAAAAACAACGAUAGUAUUAACCCAUUGCAAGGUUCAAGUAAAACAACAGUGGAACGAAGUAAGCCAGGAAAUAGUGACAUACAAUCUACCAUUGCUUUAAAUUCCGACACAGAAAAUAAAAACAAAAUAAAAAUAGAUAAUUUUAACACAUAUCAAGUGAAUAAUAGUAUAAAUACAAAAAACAAUAAACCGAGUACAGAUUAUUCUAAUAAUAUUACCUGUGCUGAUAAUAUGAUAAAUGGUUUACAUAUCGACAAUACCCUCACUAAACGUUAUAAAAAUACAAAAGAAAAAAAAAAAAAGUUGAGUGGUUCUUUAUUAGGUAAAAAGGAUACUAACAAGGAAAAAGGAAUACACAUAAUAUACGAUGAUAAUUAUAAUAAUAGUAGUGAUAAUAAUGAUACUAUAUAUGAAUAUAUAAAAAGAAGAAAACGUAAAAAAAAAAAAUUUACAUUACGUAUAAGUACUUUAAAAAUAUAUAGAAUACAGAAUUAUAUAUAUAAAGCUUUCACAACUUUUUUAUGUUUAUUUAUAGUUAUAAUAGUUUUAUAUACAUCUAUUAACAUUUCAACUCCUUAUGGUAUAAAAAUUAUUUUUUUUAUAUUUAUUUUAGAAAUUGGUAGUAUGUUUAUUUCGUAUAUUUUAUUACAAUUUCCAUUAUUAUAUCGUGUGUUGAAAAAUAUAUUUACACGAGCACAAACUGCACAAAAAUAUUCACAUGAAUAUAAUCCCUUUUAUAUAGAACAUCAGUCCGAUGAUGAUAGCAAUGAUUUUGAUAAUUAUAAUGGGUACGGAAGUCUAAAAACAAAAAAAGAAAAAAUAGGAGGGGGAGAAAAAAAAAAUAAUAAAACAGGUUUUAUAUAUAAAAUUAAAAAUUGGUUUGGAAAAAGUGAUGAUAUUCACCAAAAAAAAAAGAAAAAACAGUUUGUUGAAUAUGGUAAAAACAAAAAAGAGUUAGAGGGAAAAUAUCAAAAUAGUAUUGAGAAGGGAAAAGGACCAGCUCCCAAAUCGUAUUCAUAUAAUCUUUUAUAUGUAACAAAUUUGGACCGACGAAUAGAAGAAACAAAUAAGGGGGAAAAAAAAAAAAAUGAACCAUUAACAGAAAAGGAAAGUCGUAACAGAAAUAACAAAGAUGGUAACAGCGACGACAAUAACAGUAAUAGAAGAAGCAACAGUAACAGUAAUAAUAAAAAUAAUAUUUAUGCUAAAAAAGAAAACGUCUAUAUUGAUGAUUGUAAUUUAUGGACAAAUGUUAAUAUGAAAAAGUAUAAUAAAAAAUAUAAUAAAAGUUUAAUGUCUGUUUUUAGUUUUUUCAAAAAGUAUGAGAAAACAUAA